rnacentral:misc_RNA from 1 species
GUUUCCGCAGGUGAACCUGCGGAAGGAUCAUUAUUGUAUAACCGAGGUGCGAGGGCUGUCGCUGACCCGAAAGGUCGUGCACGCCCGAGUGCCCUCACGCAUAUCCAUCUCACCCCUAUGUGCACCACCGCGUGGGUCCCCCUUUGGCUUGUUCGGAGGGGGGCUUACGUUUUCACACAAACUUUGUAUGCAGUGUAGAAUGUAUUUUUUGUUUUUGAGAUCACGCAAUCAAUACAACUUUCAACAACGGAUCUCUUGGCUCUC